GCCAGUGUGGUGUAGUGGUUUGCGUGUCGGACUAGGAUUCCUAGAGACCAGAGUUCGAAUCUCCUCUCAGCCA